GAAGGGGGCUGUAAGCGUUAUCCGGAAUCACUGGGCGUAAAGCGUCUGUAGGUGGUGAUGCAAGUCACUGGUGCAAAAUUCUGGCUCAACCGGAGGAAAGCCAGUGAAACUGCAUGACUAGAGUGUGGGAGAGGUAGAAGGAAUUCCCUGAGUAGCGGUGAAAUGCGUAGAGACAGGGAAGAACACCGGAGGCGAAAGCGUUCUACUGGAACACAACUGACACUGAGAGACGAAAGAUAGGGGAGCGAAUGGG
rnacentral:rRNA from 1 species